rnacentral:rRNA from 1 species
GUGAGGAAUAUUGGUCAAUGGGCGAGAGCCUGAACCAGCCAAGUCGCGUGAAGGAAGAAGGAUCUAUGGUUCGUAAACUUCUUUUGCAGGGGAAUAAAGUGCGGGACGUGUCCUGUUUUGUAUGUACCCUGAGAAUAAGGAUCGGCUAACUCCGUGCCAGCAGACGCGGUAAUACGGAGGAUACGAGCGUUAUCCGGAUUUAUUGGGUUUAAAGGGUGCGUAUGGGUGUUGAUAAGUCAGCGGUGAAAGUUUGCAGCUUAACUGUAAAAAAGCCGUUGAAACUGUCUGACUUGAGUGUAGAUGAGGUAGGCGGAAUGCGUGGUGUAGCGGUGAAAUGCAUAGAUCUCACGCAGAACUCCGAUUGCGAAGGCAGCUUACUAAGCUACAACUGACACUGAAGCACGAAAGCGUGGGGAUCAAACAGGAUUAGAAACCCCUGUAGUCC